rnacentral:tRNA from 1 species
GGGCUCGUGGUCUAGGGGUUAUGACGUUGCCCUUACGAGGCAAAGGUCGGGAGUUCGAAUCUCCCCGAGCCCA